rnacentral:rRNA from 1 species
AGGACGAACGCUGGCGGCGUGCUUAACACAUGCAAGUCGAGCGGAAAGGCCCUUUCGGGGGUACUCGAGCGGCGAACGGGUAAGUAACACGUGAGUAAUCUGCCCUCCACUUUGGGAUAGCCACCGGAAACGGUGAUUAAUACCGGAUAUGACGCGUGCCCGCAUGGGUGUGUGUGGAAAGUUUUUCGGUGGGGGAUGUGCUCGCGGCCUAUCAGCUUGAUGGUGGGGUAAUGGCCUACCAUGGCUUCGACGGGUAGCCGGCCUGAGAGGGUGACCGGCCACACUGGGACUGAGACACGGCCCAGACUCCUACGGGAGGCAGCAGUGGGGAAUACUGGACAAUGGGCGGAAGCCUGAUCCAGCAACGCCGCGUGAGGGAUGACGGCCUUGGUUGUAAACCUCUUUCGCCUGCGACGAAGCGAAAGUGACGGUAGCAGGUAAAGAAGCGCCGGCCAACUACGUCGCCAGCAGCCGC